rnacentral:ncRNA from 1 species
CAUCCUCGUCUCGUUCAAGGUCCCCGCAAGGGGAUAACAGGGAAUCCGGUGCGGCUGCGGCUCAAGUCCGGAGCUGCCCCCGCAACUGUCGGCGGAAACGGAUGUUCAUGGGUCCACUGGCGUCAGCAUGCCGGGAAGGCGAGCAUCCGGUUCGAUCCGCGAGCCAGGAGACCUACCUUGGGCGGUGUAUUCAC